rnacentral:rRNA from 1 species
UACAGAGGGUGCAAGCGUUAAUCGGAAUUACUGGGCGUAAAGGGCGCGUAGGUGGUUACGUAAGUGAGAUGUGAAAGCCCCGGGCUUAACCUGGGAACUGCAUCUUAUACUGCGUAGCUGGAGUACAUGAGAGGGUAGUGGAAUUUCCGGUGUAGCGGUGAAAUGCGUAGAUAUCGGAAGGAACACCAGUGGCGAAGGCGGCUACCUGGCAUGAUACUGACACUGAGGCGCGAGAGCGUGGGGAGCAAACAGG